rnacentral:tRNA from 1 species
AGGAGGAUAGUUUAAUUGGUAGAAUGAUGGUCUCCAAAACCAGUGGUUGUGGGUUCAAGUCCCUCUCUUCCUG